rnacentral:tRNA from 1 species
GCAGUCGUGGCGGUGUUAAGGCGAUGGGCUAGAAAUCCACUGGGGUCUCCCCGCACAGGUUCAAAUCCUGUUGACCGCG